AUUGAACGCUGGCGGCAGGCCUAACACAUGCAAGUCGAGCGAGCGGCGGACGGGUGAGUAAUGUAUGGGGACUGCCCGAUAGAGGGGGAUAACUACUGGAAACGGUGGCUAAUACCGCAUCCUGUAGGAUAACCCAUAUGGGAUUAGCUAGUAGGUGAGGGAAUGGCUUACCUAGCCGACCAUCCCUAGCUGGUCUGAGAGGAUGAUCAGCAACACUGGGGCUGAGACACGGCCCAGACUCCUACGGAGGCAGCAGUGGGGAAUAUUGCACAAUGGGCGCAAGCCUGAUGCAGCCAUGCCGCGUGUAUGAAGAAGGCCCUAGGGUUGUAAAGUACUUUCAGUCGGGAGGCGUUACCGACAGAAGAAGCACCGGCUAACUCCGUGCCAGCCGCCGCGGUAAUUC
rnacentral:rRNA from 1 species